rnacentral:rRNA from 1 species
GACGAACGCUGGCGGCGUGCUUAACACAUGCAAGUCGAACGGAAAGGCCCUGCUUUUGUGGGGUGCUCGAGUGGCGAACGGGUGAGUAACACGUGAGUAACCUGCCCUUGACUUUGGGAUAACUUCAGGAAACUGGGGCUAAUACCGGAUAGGAGCUCCUGCUGCAUGGUGGGGGUUGGAAAGUUUCGGCGGUUGGGGAUGGACUCGCGGCUUAUCAGCUUGUUGGUGGGGUAGUGGCUUACCAAGGCUUCGACGGGUAGCCAGCCUGAGAGGGAGACCGGCCACAUUGGGACUGGGGUGCGACCCAGACUCAUACGGGAGGAAGGAGUGAAAAAUAUUGCAAAAAGGGCGGAGGGCUGGUGCAGGGACGCCGCAUGCGGGAUGACGGCCUUCAGGUUGUAACCCACUUGCGCGUGUGACGGAGCGUGAGUAACGGUAAUGGGUAAAGAAGCACCGGCUAACUACGU